rnacentral:rRNA from 1 species
AAGAAAGUAAGCAAGGGCAGACGGUGGAUGCCUUGGCUCUCGGAGGCGAUGAAGGACGUGAUAAGCUGCGAUAAGCUUGGGGUAGGUGCAAAUAACCUUUGAUCCCAAGAUUUCCGAAUGGGGCAACCCGGCUGGUAGAAGGCCAGUCAUUCCGUAAGGAAGGCGAACGUGGGGAACUGAAACAUCUAAGUACCCAUAGGAGAAGAAAACAAAAGUGAUUCCGCAAGUAGUGGCGAGCGAACGCGGAGUAGCCCAAACCGAUGAUGUUUAGGCAUUGUCGGGGUAGUAGGACCACGUUGUGGCAAGAGAUUAAUGAAGUAGAACGUUUUGGAACAAACGGCCGUAGACGGUGAAAGCCCGGUAUACGACUCUUUAACGAAGCCUAGUGGAAUCCUGAGUAGCGCGGAGCACGAGAAAUUCUGUGUGAAUCAGCGGGGCCCAUCCCGUAAGGCUAAAUACUCCCGAGAGACCGAUAGCGAACCAGUACUGUGAAGGAAAGGUGAAAAGCACCUCGAACAGAGGAGUGAAAUAGUCCCUGAAACCGUCUGCCUACAAGCGGUCGGAGCAACGUAAGUUGUGACGGCGUGCCUUUUGCAUAAUGAACCUACGAGUUACUUUCUCCGGCAAGGUUAAGGGCUUCAGGCCCGGAGCCGAAGCGAAAGCGAGUCUUAAUAGGGCGUGAUAGUCGGAGUGAGUAGACGCGAAACCAAGUGAUCUACCCUUGGUCAGGAUGAAGGUUGGGUAACACCAACUGGAGGUCCGAAUGGGUAUACGUUGAAAAGUGUUCCAAUGAACUGAGGGUAGGGGUGAAAGGCUAAUCAAACUUGGAGAUAGCUCGUACUCCCCGAAAUGCAUUUAGGUGCAGCCUUUAUUUAGUAUAGCAUGAGGUAGAGCGACUGAUUGGAUGCGAGGGCUUCACCGCCUAUCAAGUCCAGAUAAACUCCGAAUGCGUGCUAUAUAUUGAUAAGGAGUGAGGGCGCGGGUGCUAAGGUCCGCGUCCGAGAGGAGAAGAAUCCAGACCAUCAGCUAAGGUCCCCAAAUAACAGUUAAGUUGAACUAACGAAGUCGGACUGCAGAGACAGCUAGGAUGUUGGCUUGGAAGCAGCCAUUCAUUUAAAGAGUGCGUAACAGCUCACUAGUCGAGGAGUCCGGCGUGGAUAAUACUCGGGCAUAAACUGUUUACCGAAGCUAUGGAUGUAGAAAUACAUGGUAGGGGAGCAUUCCAACGGCGUCGAAGGUGAAGGAUGACCUUUGCUGGAGCUUUUGGAAACGCAAAUGUAGGUAUAAGUAACGAUAAAGGAGGUGAGAAACCUCCUCGCCGAAAGACUAAGGUUUCCUGAUCAACGUUAAUCGGAUCAGGGUAAGUCGGGACCUAAGGUUAAGCCGAACGGCGAUACCGAUGGAAGAAUGGUUUAAUAUUCCCAUACUACUUUAUGGAGCGAUGUGGAGACGGAGAAGUGAAAGUCCUGCCAUCUGACGGAAUAGGUGGUUGAAGAGUGUAGAUGUAGAUUCCUGUAGGCAAAUCCGCAGGGAGAGUCGACCUUGACAGUAUGCCGCGUGCUUGCACAAGGCAAAAUGGACGUAAUCAGGCUCCCAAGAAAAUCCGCUAAGCAUAUUCAUAAAGUACCCGUACCGUAAACGGACACACGUAGUUGGGUUGAAAAUACUGAGGCGCUCGAGUGAUUCACGGUUAAGGAACUAGGCAAAUUGACCCUGUAACUUCGGGAUAAAGGGUCCCUGCAGAGAUGUGGGGCGCAGAGAAUAGGUCCAGGCAACUGUUUAACAAAAACACAUGGCUGUGCGAAAUAGAAAUAUGAAGUAUACAGCCUGACACCUGCCCGGUGCUGGAAGGUUAAGAGGAGAUGUCAUCCUAAAGAGAAGCAUUGAAUUGAAGCCCCAGUAAACGGCGGCCGUAACUAUAACGGUCCUAAGGUAGCGAAAUUCCUUGUCGGGUAAGUUCCGACCUGCACGAAUGGUGUAAUGAUCUGGACACUGUCUCAACCGUGAGCUCGGUGAAAUUGUAGUAUCGGUGAAGAUGC